AGUGAACGCUGGCGGUAGGCCUAACACAUGCAAGUCGAGCGGCAGCACAGUAAGAGCUUGCUCUUACGGGUGGCGACUGGCGGACGAGUGAGGAAUACAUCGGUAUCUACUUUUGAGGGGUAAAUGACGGAGGGGAACUCACGUUAAUACCGCAUACGACCUACGAAUGAAAGCAUCCGAUCUUCGAACCGCUCGCGAUUGAAUAAGCCGAUGGUGGAUUAGCUAGUUGGCGGGGUAAAGGCCCACCAAUGCUACGAUCCGUAGCUGGUCUGAGAUGAUGAUCAGCCAGAUUGGCACUGAGACAGGGUAGAGACUCCUAAAGGAGGAAGCAGUGGGGAAUAUUGGACAAUGGGGGAGAGCGUGAUCCAGCACAACCGCGUAGGUGCAGAAGGCGCUAGGCUUGUAAAGCCAUUUUGUUGGGAAAGAAGAGAAGUAGGUUAAUAACCCGCUGUUAUGACGGUAACUAAAGAAUAAGCACCGGCUAACUUCGUG
rnacentral:rRNA from 1 species